UGGGGAAUAUUGGACAAUGGGCGCAAGCCUGAUCCAGCCAUGCCGCGUGAGUGAUGAAGGCCCUAGGGUUGUAAAGCUCUUUCAGCGAGGAGGAUAAUGACGUUACUCGCAGAAGAAGCCCCGGCUAACUUCGUGCCAGCAGCCGCGGUAAUACGAAGGGGGCUAGCGUUGUUCGGAAUCACUGGGCGUAAAGCGCACGUAGGCGGACUUUUAAGUCAGGGGUGAAAUCCCGGGGCUCAACCUCGGAACUGCCUUUGAUACUGGAAGUCUGGAGUCCGAGAGAGGUGAGUGGAACUCCGAGUGUAGAGGUGAAAUUCGUAGAUAUUCGGAAGAACACCAGUGGCGAAGGCGGCUCACUGGCUCGGUACUGACGCUGAGGUGCGAAAGCGUGGGGAGCAAGCAGGAUUAGAUACCCUGGUAGUCCACGCCGUAAACGAUGGAAGCUAGCCGUCAGGGUGCAUGCAUCUUGGUGGCGCAGUUAACGCAUUAAGCUUCCCGCCUGGGGAGUACGGUCGCAAGAUUAAAACUCAAAUGAAUUGACGGGGUCAUAGCUGUUUCCU
rnacentral:rRNA from 1 species